GCAAACUUGGUCAUUUAGAGGAAGUAAAAGUCGUAACAAGGUUUCCGUAGGUGAACCUGCGGAAGGAUCAUUACUGAGUUUUGAAAAGAGUUGUAGCUGGUCUUUUAAUAAGAUAUGUGCACGCUCUACUCAUUCACUCUUAAAUCUCGUGUGCACCUAUGUAGAGUUUGGUGAAAUUCGGCCGAAAGGCUGAUAGGGAUCCUGCUCUAUGUUUUUAUACAAACGCUUUAGUUAUAGAAUGUUAUCUUGUGUUUGACACAUUUAAUAUAUAACUUUCAGCAACGGAUCUCUUGGCUCUCGCAUCGAUGAAGAACGCAGC
rnacentral:misc_RNA from 1 species